GACGAACGCUGGCGGCGUGCUUAACACAUGCAAGUCGAACGGUAAGGCCCUUCGGGGUACACGAGUGGCGAACGGGUGAGUAACACGUGGGUGAUCUGCUCUGCACUUCGGGUUAAGCCUGGGAAACUGGGUCUAAUACCGGAUAGGACCACUGCCUGCAUGGGUGGUGGUGGAAAGCUUUUGCGGUGUGGGAUGGGCCCGCGGCCUAUCAGCUUGUUGGUGGGGUGAUGGCCUACCAAGGCGACGACGGGUAGCCGGCCUGAGAGGGUGACCGGCCACACUGGGACUGAGAUACGGCCCAGACUCCUACGGGAGGCAGCAGUGGGGAAUAUUGCACAAUGGGCGCAAGCCUGAUGCAGCGACGCCGCGUGAGGGAUGACGGCCUUCGGGUUGUAAACCUCUUUCAGCACCGACGAAGCGCAAGUGACGGUAGGUGCAGAAGAAGGACCGGCCAACUACGUGCCAGCAGCCGCCGUAA
rnacentral:rRNA from 1 species